rnacentral:lncRNA from 1 species
AUUGUUAAUAAAUGUAUAAAUUUCGAUUUAAGAUCAAUGGUUCAUUCAUUAGUAAUUGAGAUUUAAAUCUAUUAUAGAAAUUACUAGGAUUUGGUUAAGGUUUGUUUUAGGGUUUAGGAUUUGGUUAAGAUUUGGUUUACGAUUUAGGAUUUGAUUAAGGUUUGAUUUAAGAUUUAAGAUUUGAUUAGAGUUUGAUUUAGAAUUUAAGAUUUAAUUAGAAUUUAAUUUAGGAUUUAUGAUUUGAUUAAGAUUUGGUUAGGAUUUGAUUAAGAUUUAGUUUAGGGUUUAGAAUUUGGCUAGGAUUUAGUUUAGGAUUUAGAAUUUGGCUAGGAUUUGGUUUAGAAUUUAGAAUUUGGUUAGGAUUUGAUUUAGGAUUUAGGAUUUAGGAUUUGAUUUAAGGUCAAGGUUUAAGGUUUGGUUAGGAUUUGGUAUAGGAUUUAGGGUUUGAUUAGGAUUUGGUUUAGGAUUUAGGAUUUUAUUAGGAUUUAUUUAGGUUUUAAAAUUUAGUUAGUUUUUGGCCUAAAGUUUGAGUGAAGUCCAAUAAAAUUUUAACUAGGAUUAAAUGAAGAUUGAAUUAAGAUAUAUUUGAGAUAUAUUUGUGAGCAUUCUAAUAUUUCUUUAAGAUUUCUUAUUAUUUCAUUUUAAUUCUUUUGAGAUUUUUUUAAAUUUGAUUAAAGCUUACUUAGUAUUAUAAUGGUCUAAUUAGAGUUUAAUUAAUAUUUUAUUAAAGCUAAUAUUUUUUAUUAUAAUUUCCAUUCUAUUUUCCACAGCCAGGUGCCCAGAGCAUUGUCAAGCAAGACUUCACAUAUUAUGACAUAUUUUGGUGAAUCCAAUGUGAAAAGCUUGAAGUGAAAGGUAUUUAGAAAUUUUUCUUAGUUUAUUUGAAUUAUAGAAAAAGAAGGCAAGAAGAUGGAAGAUGUUGAGUUUUAUUGGUGGUUAUUGAAAUUGAUCAUCUAGUU